UACGUAGGGCGCAAGCGUUGUCCGGAUUUAUUGGGCGUAAUGAGCGUGUAGGCGGCCAGGUAGGUCAGCUGUGAAAACUCGAGGCUUAACCUCGAGACGCCGGCUGAAACCCUCUGGCUAGAGUCCGGAAGAGGAGAGCGGAAUUCCUGGUGUAGCUGUGAAAUGCGCAGAUAUCAGGAAGAACACCCGUGGCGAAGGCGGCUCUCUGGGACGGGACUGACGCUGAGACGCGAAAGCGUGGGGAGCGAACAGG
rnacentral:rRNA from 1 species